rnacentral:rRNA from 1 species
GAUGAACGCUGGCGGCGUGCUUAACACAUGCAAGUCGAACGAAGCACUCUAUUUGAUUUUCUUCGGAAAUGAAGAUUUUGUGACCGAGUGGCGGACGGGUGAGUAACGCGUGGGUAACCUGCCCCAUACAGGGGGAUAACAGUUGGAAACGACUGCUAAUACCGCAUAAGCGCACAGUAUUGCAUGAUACAGUGUGAAAAACUCCGGUGGUAUGAGAUGGACCCGCGUCUGAUUAGCUAGUUGGUGGGGCAACGGCCUACCAAGGCGACGAUCAGUAGCCGACCUGAGAGGGUGACCGGCCACAUUGGGACUGAGACACGGCCCAAACUCCUACGGGAGGCAGCAGUGGGGAAUAUUGCACAAUGGGGGAAACCCUGAUGCAGCGACGCCGCGUGAACGAAGAAGUAUUUCGGUAUGUAAAGUUCUAUCAGCAGGGAAGAUAAUGACGGUACCUGACUAAGAAGCACCGGCCAAAUACGUGCCAGCCGCCGCGGUAA